rnacentral:rRNA from 1 species
UGGGGAAUUUUGGACAAUGGGGGAAACCCUGAUCCAGCCAUCCCGCGUGUGCGAUGAAGGCCUUCGGGUUGUAAAGCACUUUUGGCAGGAAAGAAACGUCAUGGGUUAAUACCCCGUGAAACUGACGGUACCUGCAGAAUAAGCACCGGCUAACUACGUGCCAGCAGCCGCGGUAAUACGUAGGGUGCAAGCGUUAAUCGGAAUUACUGGGCGUAAAGCGUGCGCAGGCGGUUCGGAAAGAAAGAUGUGAAAUCCCAGAGCUCAACUUUGGAACUGCAUUUUUAACUACCGGGCUAGAGUUUGUCAGAGGGAGGUGGAAUUCCGCGUGUAGCAGUGAAAUGCGUAGAUAUGCGGAGGAACACCGAUGGCGAAGGCAGCCUCCUGGGAUAACACUGACGCUCAUGCACGAAAGCGUGGGGAGCAAACAGG